CUGGCGACCUUUGCUCGUCUGGGCAGCCGCAGAAGUGGCUCGUGGCCGCUAGCCCGGGCCGCCCGCUACCACCCAGAUCAUUCUCCCGCGGCGGCGGCGGCGGCGGCAGCAGCCGAGGCGGGCCCGGCGCGCGCUCCCGCCCGCUCGCUCCGCCCCUCCCUGCAGCGAGUCCAGGCCGCGGCCCGCCUACGGCGCAGCCGCCACCCUGGGGUCUCCUAGCGCUGACGUCGCCGCCGCAGCACCAGCCCCAGGGAAGGGCGGAGCCGGAGGGAGCAGGGAGGGGCGGGGCUACGGCGACGUGCGGACGCGGGGAUUGGGCGCUGAGCACGCGCUCCGCCCUUUUGCGAAGGGGUCUGGGAAGUCGGGCUUUCAGGAGCUAUAGGUUUAACGUGCAGCCCUCUUGGGGAUCGUCUGUACUGGUUUCUCAUUUCUGAUUCUGUUGUUGGAUUCUGCACUAGCUUCGUUUCUCUCUGACCUUAAUAAAUAGAAAUAUGGCAAGAUGAGGUAUGCAGUAAGGUGCUGCAUAACCUGAUGUGUGAACCAGGAAGAACUGAAAACCCAGAUGGUGAUACCAGAAAGCCGCCUGCAAGAACAUGUGCAUAAACUUUGAUUCUGUUAGUACUUCAUUUCUGCCCUACAAUAGCAGAAAGAAGUUCAUCAGACCUGGCAAAAGUCAUCUGCCCUUAGGGAAUGGGUUGCCACCUGUAGCAGCAACCCCACCAUAGUGUGAGAUGAGGAAACUGAGGCCAGAAAGAUAAACUAAUAGAACAUGCCAGAAGAGAAAUGCCAGUAUCAUGACAUUCAGAGUAACAAUGUGACCAGUUAAAAAAACAUUCACGUCUUCAGACUCCUAUAAGUCAUGGCUGGACAUGUAACCUGUCAAUGAAAUGAAAGUCGUCAUUUCUAGGAGGGGCUUAAGGAAAGCUUUAUGGAAGAAAUGUUUCUUUAGCCAUUUGACCUAUGCCCAUCCUUUUUCUUAGAACCAGGACACGAUGCUGAAGGUAGAGCAACGAAACUUCAACCAUGAUGACAAAAACCACACCCUCAAUAUUAGUGGUGCAGAAAGCCAGAGGUGUCUGGGUUCAUGAAUGCUUUGGAGAGCCAGCUUACCAGCUGGGCUGUCCACUUCUGGAUUGUUAUUAUGUGAGGAAAAAUAAAUUUCUUCUAUGUAAGAUUUUGUUAUUUGAGUUUUCUAUUAUAAGUCUUAAAUAUGGUUCCUAAUUGAUAUAAUAAGGUAGAUUAUCAUUUAUGUAGCACUAUGUUGACAAUUUUUUUGAUAGGGUAAGAUGAAAAUGGGACAGAACAUGCAAACUAACAACAAUGAUAAAAUAUUCUCUAAUAAACUUAGUUUUUUAUUAAAUACCCAAAUAUUAAAUAAAUCAUUUUAUAGUAAUUAAGUUAAAUUCUGUAAAUUAACUUAUAUUCACUUAUAUAGUGGUUUUAAAAUAUGUUCACAAAUUUUUUCAUGCUUCUUUCAAGAGAUGGAGCUUAAUUCCCAUAACUUUAAGUUUGGGCUGUAUUUUCUAACUUCUCAUGAAUAGAAUAAGAUGAAAAUGAUGUAGUGGACCUCUGAGGGGAGUUUAUAAAACAUAUGCUAGCUUUCUUCUUGUUCUCUUUCUGGAAUUACUUGCUGGGAGAGUCACCAGAGAGGGGUCCAAAGAUGACCCUCCAGGGGUCAGUGGAAGCCUCAAUUGGCCCUGGCAGGUUCUUGAUUUAUGCCACAUAAAAGCAUUCCAGGAUGUGUUGAAAGCAAGGCACAAGGAAAGAUUUAUUAAUAGAGACAGCAAAUCAAAGGUAUAUACACCCUAAAGGCAGGGUAUACAUACCCCUUGCCUCUCAGAGAAGGUAAGACAAGUGACUGAACUAGGGUUGAUCUCUCUGACUAUAUGUAUGAUUCUCUAAGAGGAAAAGUACAGGUUCCUGGGCAGGCUUUUGUGAAAAUCAGAUCCCAUGUCAAUCACUUGAUAUUUAAGGUUCAGGAUGUUCCAUCUUGUUAUGGGUAUAUUGUAUAGCCACAAAUCAGUUAUGGGUGUUUUGUGUAGGUCUUUGAAUCUGGUGACAUUUAAAUUGAUUAUGUUUUUGUUCUAGUUGAUCUGAUAGAAGCGUACAUUGCAUGCUUUGUUCCUCUAACUAAAGGGACAAGCAUGACUGGUCAUGCUUAUAGAUCUCAAUCUCCAUCUAGUAAGGGUCUUCUUUUCUCUCUCCCUGAGAGCCCACCUAUCUCAGGGAGAGAUCGUGACAAGUAGUUGUCAUGUCAUUGUCAUAAGGUCACUCAGGCAACUUAUGGAGAGGCUUGGUUGGUGAGUAUUAAGUCUUCCAGCCAAUGGCCAUGCAAGUGACCUUGAAAGCAGAUCCUCCAACCAUAAUCAAGCCUAGAAAUGACGGCAUGCAUCCCUGGCCAACAUCUUGACUGUCGCCUCAAGAGAGACCCUGGCCAGAACCACUCAAAUAAGCUGCUUCCAUAUUUCUGGCCCCCAGAAAAUGAGAUAAUACAUGUUUAAAUAAUUGUUUUAAGCCUCUAAGUUUUAGGAUACUUUGUUAUAUAACACUAGAUAACUAACACAGUUGAGUAUAAUAGAGCCUAGCACAAUGCCUGACACAUAAGAAAUAAUUUUUUGUUAUUUGAAUGAAUAACUAUUCAAGUGGAGUUUAUCUUUUGUACUUUAAUGGAUUAUAUAUAAUGUUGGUGUUAUCUGUGAUCCCUGACACCUAUAUUGUAUAAGGGUUUUUUGAUAUGAUAAUAAAGAGAUCAAUUGUGAAUCUUACUGAGAUCUAAACAUUGAUGUCCUGGGUGUUACAAAGUGGAAUAAA